AGUGAACGCUGGCGGUAGGCCUAACACAUGCAAGUCGAACGGCAGCACAGUAAGAGCUUGCUCUUACGGGUGGCGAGUGGCGGACGGGUGAGGAGUACAUCGGAAUCUACUUUUUCGUGGGGGAUAACGUAGGGAAACUUACGCUAAUACCGCAUACGACCUACGGGUGAAAGCAGGGGAUCUUCGGACCUUGCGCGAUUGAAUGAGCCGAUGUCGGAUUAGCUAGUUGGCGGGGUAAAGGCCCACCAAGGCGACGAUCCGUAGCUGGUCUGAGAGGAUGAUCAGCCACACUGGAACUGAGACACGGUCCAGACUCCUACGGGAGGCAACAGUGGGGAAUAUUGGACAAUGGGCGCAAGCCUGAUCCAGCCAUACCGCGUGGGUGAAGAAGGCCUUCGGGUUGUAAAGCCCUUUUGUUGGGAAAGAAAAGCAGCAGGUUAAUACCCCGCUGUUCUGACGGUACCCAAAGAAUAAGCACCGGCUAACUUCGUG
rnacentral:rRNA from 1 species